AAUUCGCGGCGCGUCGACUUCGAUGAUACGCGAGGAACCUUACCCGGGCUUAAAUUGCAGACGAAUUACCUGGAAACAGGUAAGCCGCAAGGCGUCUGUGAAGGUGCUGCAUGGUUGUCGUCAGCUCGUGCCGUGAGGUGUCGGCUUAAGUGCCAUAACGAGCGCAACCCUCGUGGUCAGUUACUAACAGGUUAAGCUGAGGACUCUGGCCAGACUGCCAUCGUAAGAUGUGAGGAAGGUGGGGAUGACGUCAAAUCAACACGGCCCUUACGUCCGGGGCUACACACGUGUUACAAUGGGAGGUACAGAAGGCAGCUACCCGGCGACGGGAUGCCAAUCCCCAAAACCUCUCUCAGUUCGGACUGGAGUCUGCAACCCGACUCCACGAAGCUGGAUUCGCUAGUAAUCGCGCAUCAGCCACGGCGCGGUGAAUACGUUCCCGGGCCUUGUACACACCGCCGUCGACGCGGC
rnacentral:rRNA from 1 species